CUUAUAUUACCUCCGUCCAACAAAGGAUGUCUCAAGUUUGUCAAAAUUUGAAUGUAUCUAGACAUUCAAAUUAAGUCAAAGUUGAGACAUCCUUUGUUGGACGGAGGGAGUAUAUG
rfam:Brachypodium distachyon strain Bd21 chromosome 1, whole genome shotgun sequence.